AAGAGCAUUCUUUGCAUCAGGACGAUUAGUUUCCAAUACUCCUGCUACUUUAUCAAUCUUGCAAUGCAACUUCCCAGCUGCAAUGAACCGAGAUAGUUCCAAGUCGAUGAAAUCCUCAGACACCCCAAAAGCCUUGGCCAUGGCCUCAAUAGUAACACUCUUGUAGGACUCCAGGAACUGGGAAUACACAACUGUUCUGACCUCCCUCAUAUAAUAUCUGAAGUGUGGUUGCAAGUAACGAUCCAAUUUAAUAUGCUCCAUCAAGCCAGCAAAUGCUGAGAAAAAUGACUUGUAUUGACAAUCAUAUAACGAGUUCAUAAACUCGGACAGAUAUGGAAUCUUUCCAAUUACAGUCAAGAUCUCUGGCGCAUCCACGACCUUUUGUUUCAAGGAAACCCGGUCCAAGGUAAUGAUGCUCGUAAGGACAGUAUAAAAUAUGAAAGUAUCAUAGGGGAAAAGCUCAUAUGUGGUAAAAGUUGAGAUAGAAUCAAGGAAAAGAUCUGCUGCUUUCUUGAAGUUACGAGUGGACAUGCAGAACAACCCUUCAUACACCUUCAACCUGUUCUUUCUCUCCCAGUCACCCCCCUUUUCGAAUAAUUUCUUUGCCUUAUCUAUGCAUUUAGAGAUGAGGUCAAAAUCCAAGUCAAAUAAUCCCAUCUGCAAGGUAUAGAACACUAGGUCCAUCUUUUGCCCAACUGCAACAGUUUUUUUCUCAGUCACCUUGAGUUGUUCAAGUGCUUUCCCCUUGUCACCAAUUCUAAUGUAGAACAAUGAUUUAGCCAAAUGAGCUUCUCGAACUUCA
rnacentral:misc_RNA from 1 species